rnacentral:rRNA from 1 species
AUGCAAGUCGAGCGGGGGAAGGUAGCUUGCUACUGGACCUAGCGGCGGACGGGUGAGUAAUGCUUAGGAAUCUGCCUAUUAGUGGGGGACAACAUCUCGAAAGGGAUGCUAAUACCGCAUACGUCCUACGGGAGAAAGCAGGGGAUCUUCGGACCUUGCGCUAAUAGAUGAGCCUAAGUCGGAUUAGCUAGUUGGUGGGGUAAAGGCCUACCAAGGCGACGAUCUGUAGCGGGUCUGAGAGGAUGAUCCGCCACACUGGGACUGAGACACGGCCCAGACUCCUACGGGAGGCAGCAGUGGGGAAUAUUGGACAAUGGGGGGAACCCUGAUCCAGCCAUGCCGCGUGUGUGAAGAAGGCCUUAUGGUUGUAAAGCACUUUAAGCGAGGAGGAGGCUACUUUAGUUAAUACCUAGAGAUAGUGGACGUUACUCGCAGAAUAAGCACCGGCUAACUCUGUGCCAGCAGCCGCGGUAAUACAGAGGGUGCGAGCGUUAAUCGGAUUUACUGGGCGUAAAGCGUGCGUAGGCGGCUUAUUAAGUCGGAUGUGAAAUCCCCGAGCUUAACUUGGGAAUUGCAUUCGAUACUGGUGAGCUAGAGUAUGGG